rnacentral:rRNA from 1 species
UACUUCCAGCACUUAGGCGGCCCGUCAAGAAGAGAGUGCGCCGGCUGGCGAGCGACGAGCAGGCCGCCGCCGGAUGAUACGCCCCACGACGGCUACGCUAGCUGGUCUCUAGGGGCCGGACGGCAGCGGUCUCAGCGGUUCUUGUCCGGCCUUCAACCUCCUUUACGACGCUCGUACGGUUUAGGCCAGCUCUUCUUCCGAUCUCUCUGAGCUUGUUUCUUCGUCGAGGUGUUUGGAGUUCUGCUCGGUUGAAUAGUCCUUUCAUAUGUAGAGGUUGAAAGGUACCACCUACACGAGGUUUUCUAGCCAUAUAGAGCCGUAAAACGGUCACUCUAGUUCUCAUAGGACCUAAAAUGUAUGUCUAUAACCAAUGUUUCUCUACUUUAGUACGACCUGCGUCUCUGUACACGGUACCGCAAGGCGUAGAAUGCCUACUUACCCAUGUCGCAUAGUCGACUACCGGACAGUGUAUAGAGGUGGCUAGACUCACUGUGCUCUAGAAACAACCUUAACAUGUUCCGAAGUGUUCAACCGUGAAGUCUGCUACUCAACUAAGACCUAUAAUAUCCUAGGACCAGUCCAAUGGAUGACUCCGUUGUUGACUUUAGAUUACUACGUGUUUCUUGGGAUGAGGAUUCUCUCCAUCUUGUACAAGAACUAUCGGGGAAGAUGUGGUACAACCUAGCAGACCUUGUAUUCUCCUUGUAGCUUGUUAAACUGCAUUAGCUCGUAGGGUAGGUUGUUGACUGAACCGUUUGUUUAGUUCUAGAAGAUCGAAAUCCACAGUACCUAAAGUCAUGUUCAGUUAGAUAUAUGGUUCUUCUUAUAGUCAUAGAGCUGUCAACCCACUUUCUCUCGUUCGACUUGGCCGAUGGAAAGCGUGCUGUCUUCAACCGUAUAAAGAUGGAGAGUCGACGGUCGUGGUACAAGGGAGGUCUCGAUAGACUACGAGCGUAGGAUACCCGGUUCUUACCACGCGAGUGUUGCCAACAGCUACUGAAGAAACUGCAACCCCCUAGUUUUCUUCUUAACGUCUUGGAGUGACGUAAUCAGCUCUACACCGUCUUCGUUCUCCUUUGGCUCAUGAUGAGACUUGUUCAGUUCUAGCACAAGACACGUUAGAUAUCGAGUCACUUGCUUGAACCUAGUUUCCGAAGGCGUCACGUUCCAGCGCUACAGUGGCCUGUGGAUCAUCUUUAGACCGUUCUUAACGAUGCCUUAUACUACUGGCUCCACCUUACCUCUUGCUGGCCUAUGCAAGGUUGAGAUCUACUCAUGUAUCUAUUACGUCAACACUGUAAACGCAACCCGGGAUAACACGAAGGACGUAACAUAAAACAACCUGGUUUCUAAUGACUCAGAUACCAGUGUCUAGGACUCAUGUCACUCAACAAAUCCAACUACUCGUGAACGCCGGCAGAAGAGUUACUGCAGGUUUGGAUGCUCUCCCUCAUGUUUCUCCCAUUUGACUUGUCACAGAGAGACGAGCACGAAGUAUCACUACCGAGGCACUGGUAUGGUCUCCGGUCCUCCUUCAACGUCUUCGGGUAUCUGUGCACAUCUUCUCUGGAUGAUUCCAACCAGGAAUUCCUCCUGCUACGGCACGGAUCCGGAACGUUCCUUAACAAGACCUUGUAUACGUUCUGUACGAUGAAAAAGAUAAUGGUCCCUCUGCGUAAAUCGACGGUUCUCCUCUUCCGGCCACGCCACCUACGCCACUAUGUACUAGGUGAGGUUGAGGGCUACUUAGAUGAGAGACUGGAACUAAUAAGAUGAACCGCACUCUCUUAUUUCUAGUUUGUAAUU